rnacentral:rRNA from 1 species
AGAGCGAACGCUGGCGGCAGGCCUAACACAUGCAAGUCGAGCGCCCGUAGCAAUACGGGAGCGGCAGACGGGAUAGUAACACGUGGGAACGCGCCCUUCGGUUCGGAAUAACUCAGGGAAACUUGAGCUAAUACCGGAUACGCCCUUACGGGGAAAGAUUUAUUGCCGAAGGAACGGCCCGCGUCCGAUUAGCUAGUUGGUGAGGUAAUGGCUCACCAAGGCGACGAUCGGUAGCUGGUCUGAGAGGAUGACCAGCAUCACUGGGACUGAGACACGGCCCAGACUCCUACGGGAGGCAGCAGUGGGGAAUAUUGGACAAUGGGCGCAAGCCUGAUCCAGCCAUGCCGCGUGGAUGAUGAAGGCCUUAGGGUUGUAAAGUCCUUUUAACGGGAGAUAAUGACGGUACCGUAGAAUAAGCCCCGGCUAACUUCGUGCCAGCAGCCGC